rnacentral:rRNA from 1 species
UACGUAGGAGGCUAGCGUUGUCCGGAAUCAUUGGGCGUAAAGCGCGUGUAGGCGGUCCGGUAAGUCCGCUGUGAAAGUCGGGGGCUCAACCCUCGGAUGCCGGUGGAUACUGUCGGGCUUGAGUACGGAAGAGGCGAGUGGAAUUCCUGGUGUAGCGGUGAAAUGCGCAGAUAUCAGGAGGAACACCAAUUGCGAAGGCAGCUCGCUGGGACGUUACUGACGCUGAGACGCGAAAGCGUGGGGAGCAAACAGG